CUACGGGGGGCUCCAGUGGGGAAUAUUGCACAAUGGGCGCAAGCCUGAUGCAGCCAUGCCGCGUGUAUGAAGAAGGCCUUCGGGUUGUAAAGUACUUUCAGCGGGGAGGAAGGGAGUAAAGUUAAUACCUUUGCUCAUUGACGUUACCCGCAGAAGAAGCACCGGCUAACUCCGUGCCAGCAGCCGCGGUAAUACGGAGGGUGCAAGCGUUAAUCGGAAUUACUGGGCGUAAAGCGCACGCAGGUGGUUUGUUAAGUCAGAUGUGAAAUCCCCGGGCUCAACCUGGGAACUGCAUCUGAACUGGCAAGCUUGAGUCUCGUAGAGGGGGGUAGAAUUCCAGGUGUAGCGGUGAAAUGCGUAGAGAUCUGGAGGAAUACCGGUGGCGAAGGCGGCCCCCUGGACGAAGACUGACGCUCAGGUGCGAAAGCGUGGGGAGCAAACAGGAUUAGAUACCCGGGUAGUC
rnacentral:rRNA from 1 species